CGCCUUUUAAAAGCAGCUGUAAAUUCUGCUGUAAUCAGUAAACGCAGUCAGUUUUACUUUCUAAGCAUGAGUGCCUUUUUAGGCAUUAUAACUAUUUGUUUGAGUCUCUUCCGAUACUGAUGGAAUAGUUGCGAAACGGCAGUUUCUUCCAGUUCUUCAGUCAGUCUACCCAUGAAAUGAAACUCAGAUGAAAGAAGCAGAACCGCAUAGACAAAGGCCAUUCUACAUGCACACCCUGUACUAUAUGGAAAGACGUCAUAUGCAACAGAGAGAGAGACUAUAACGAGGCGAUUGUUGGCGUGUGGCUGCAUUCGUACCGGUGAACGACACCAUGGAGAUGAGCGAGAGAAACAGGGCCCCAGACAACAGCUACGAAGGAGUUCCACAGGAUAAUCAGGAGAAUGAAUACCAGACUUUGCAUUUCUCCGAACGGGUGAAGAAUCGCGCUGCGGAGGUUUUAGGCCACCGCUAUUCCCAAAAGAAGUUCAUUUUGCUGCUUCUCCCCAUCAAUGCUUUGCUACUGACCAUCAUUCUGGUGUUGGUGGCACUGAACUAUAGCCAGUUCAGUCGGAUGGAGCCGAGAACUGACCAUAUGACGGAUGCAGAUCCAGAAGCAGAAGAAGUCUGGCAUCUCCAUGAUGAUGAGUUCUAUCUCAUCUGGCGCAACCGAGGAACCUGUGAAGAUGCAGAAGCAUUCUGCUCUGAAAGAGGUGCUCAUCUGGCCACUGUGGACGACAGCAAUGAGGAAUGGAUGCGGUCGCAGGCCAGAGGAGAGGCGCUAUGGGUGAAGAGAACGGCGCACGCUUCCGGUUCCGGUGCCACUGCAAUAUCUGACAUCGAAUUUGAUUACAAUGACAAUCUCCACAAUGACAGCCUGGACCAAGAGGACUGCGAGUGUGAGCUCUUCCCUGACCAUUACACCAGUGACAACUGUAAAGACCUUCACAAUUGGGCAUGUCAAAGUACCAAGAUCCACUGAGACAUUUCUAUCACAGGAUUUUUAACUAAACACUUGACCACAGCAGGGUAGCCCUGGUCUGAAGCCUAUUCUGGACACACAGGGUGUCAGGUAGGGUACACCCUGGACAGGCACAGGGCAAUCACACACACCCUCACUCACUCACACAGUAACACAUUAAGGGCAGUUUAGAGUGACCAGAACAUUUGAAGCAGAUGUGUCUGCACCCUGGAGGAAACCAGAGCACCCGUAGAAUACCUGACCAAACAUGGGAACAGUAUGCAAACUCCACAAAGAGAAUGGAUUCAAAACCACAUUCAAUUGCACAGCCAAGGUGUGCCUCCAAUCCGCAGAUUAAGUUGAAAUUUUGCCAGCUGAUACAGAAAACAAUAUCCACAUAUUUAUUCCAAGUCAAAAUUUAUAAAAGAUGCUGUACAGGUGCUUGACUGAGAAACAAAAGACCCUCAAAGGUCAUUAUAGAACUCAUAGUUUUAGGGUACCGCCAGCUUGGAUCACAAUUUGUAGGUUUCACUUAAAUCCAUAAACCACGACUUAAUUUAUGCAUUGCAAGGUAACGGCAGCAGUAGUGCGAGUGGGGCUUGAACCAACAGCUGUCAGGUCACAAAUGACCACGUGUCCAUCCUAGCUAAGUGUGUUUACCUUUAGCCCUUGUCUUUUACUUUCAAUCUGUUCAUAUUUUCUCAGUGUGCUGUGUGCGUCUGUAUACUGUCGGGACCCAGUACUGUUCAGUUAUUAAUAAAAAUUAUUUUUUAACUAUUUUCUAAAAUAAG
rnacentral:lncRNA from 1 species